GCAUAAACUUGAAAAUAAGAAACCCACAUAAAUUUUCUGACACACGAGAGUGACAGCGACCACAUCCGCUGCAAGAGUGAAGGAAAGCCGACGGACUAAGUGAAAAUCGGGCUGACCUGUGGCUCAUCGCGUGUGUUACCGUCGCAUGCUCGCAAAAAAAGGUGAACCGGAACGCAUUGACCGGCAUCAUCAAAGAUGCACAGAAGAAGCUUGACAGAACACAGAAUUAGCGCGGCAAAUUGAGUUCUGGAACAACCACACAACGUGUGUUAGUUUGGCGCAAGCAUCGUAAUUCCGGGGGGCCAGACAUCCAGCACCAGUGUCGAUUACCACACGAUCGAACGACUGGGGGAGCGCACUGAGGGGAUAUCGCACGGCGUCGUUCUUUCCGGACACGGUCCGCAUCCGACCAACAGAAGUAUUUUCCCAGGAAGCUAAAGUGAACACACAUUGUUGGCGAUCGGAGAAGCAAACUGACGGGAUCCCGCACGCCAUCACUCUUUCGGAACGUGGUCCAUAUUUGAGCAACAGAAGAGCCUUCCCAGGAAGGCUCUUUUGUAUUUUCUGCAGCUAGACACGCUGAUCAAGAGCCACGGCUCCCCGAAAGAGAAGCAAAGAGCGACGACGAUUGUGGUGAAGGACUACCAAGGGUCAGAUCCGAGGGAUCCGAGUAAGGACCACACUGCGUGAGAGGUAGGAGGCGAAAAGCGUUCGAGUGGCGUAAACCAGCUCAUUCGAGAGGCGGUGUGCACGGAUCACACUCGGUCAGCUCCUAGCAGCGGUGGCGAGGCAAAUCUAAUUCUUCUUCGGCCGACAUAGCGCCCCAGCUGCGAGGUACCCGCGGAUCGCCGAGCUCUUGAUACAGACAGGAGUCCCCAACUCACCUUCGACGGGCAGGUCUGGCUGAUGACAGGUAUGCGGAGAGACGCACGAAGCAAAGGUAGCAGUAGACGUGAGUGCUAGGAUUGAGAACAUGUAAAAAGGAAGAAAAGAAGCAUGCAUAGUGAGCAGGAGAGUAGGGCCGCAGAAAGAAGCAUGAAGGGUAUGAAGCACAAUAAUAAAAUGUUUGCACACUAAGUCUUGUUUUGUGGCGUUUGUAGUUGACUAACCCGGCCGACUAAUCCCCUUUUCGUCACGGAGAGGUCGUUUCACAACACAUGAUCAACGAAGAGUUUUGAAUCUACGAAAGGAAGAAACGGGGACAGGUAUCAACCAAGUCAGCGGUAAAGGUGCAAAUCCGUCUGAGCGACAUUGACUGAUACAGGCGUGGGUCUAGAACGCAGUGGUAGUUUGUUACAUGGGGGUCACUACGAAAAACUACCGAAGCAACGCGACCGGGGGACGCGGUAAAACCUCCUAUUGGGCUCGUAGUGAUUUAGGAUUCGGAAAUGUUUCCUUUUCUCAAACGUAGCAGUCAGUAUCCACUGUUCUCGUUCUUCUUAUUAGCCAACUUUAGUUUGUACAUUUUGUUACAUGUAAGAUCUCUAGUUUUAUUGUAGCUCCUAAAACUAGUGUAGAUCAAUUUU